CCUACGGGGGACUGCAGUAGGGAAUUUUCGGCAAUGGGGGGAACCCUGACCGAGCAACGCCGCGUGAAGGAAGAAGGAAUUCGUUCUGUAAACCCCUGUUAUUAGGGAAGAAAGACGGUGGGAGUAAAUGACCUCCGUUUGACGGUACCUUACCAGAAAGCCACGGCUAACUACGUGCCAGCAGCCGCGGUAAUACGUAGGUGGCAAGCGUUAUCCGGAUUUAUUGGGCGUAAAGAGGGAGAAGUCGGCCGCAAAGGUCUGUGGUGAAAGCCUGAGGCUUAACUUCAGUAAGCCAUAGAAACCGGGCAGCUAGAGUGCAGGAGAGGAUCGUGGAAUUCCAUGUGUAGCGGUGAAAGGCGUAGAUAUAUGGAGGAACACCAGUGGCGAAGGCGACGAUCUGGCCUGCAACUGACGCUCAGUCUCGAAAGCGUGGGGAGCAAAUAGGAUUAGAUACCCUGGUAGUC
rnacentral:rRNA from 1 species